rnacentral:lncRNA from 1 species
AAAAGGAGUGGUUGGUGUAUUGCACAGUUUUAGCCAAUGGAUUUCAGUCAAAAGCCACCAAAUGACUCCUCCCAUCAUAUUAUGAUGUUCCCCAUGUUUUGGACUCAAUCUGAUAUCGAUUGGUCCAUGAAAUUGGACAACUCAGGUUCAUACGAGGUUCAUUAGGAAAUGGAGUGGCUGGUGUAUUGCAUAGUUGUAGGUAUUGGAUUUCACUCAAAUCCCACCAAAUAACUCCUCC